rnacentral:rRNA from 1 species
GACGAACGCUGGCGGCGUGCUUAACACAUGCAAGUCGAACAGAAAGGCCCUGCUUUUGUGGGGUGCUCGAGUGGCGAACGGGUGAGUAACACGUGAGUAACCUGCCCUUUACUUUGGGAUAACUUCAGGAAACUGGGGCUAAUACCGGAUAGGAGCUCCUGCUGCAUGGUGGGGGUUGGAAAGUUUCGGCGGUUGGGGAUGGACUCGCGGCUUAUCAGCUUGUUGGUGGGGUAGUGGCUUACCAAGGCUUUGACGGGUAGCCGGCCUGAGAGGGUGACCGGCCACAUUGGGACUGAGAUACGGCCCAGACUCCUACGGGAGGCAGCAGUGGGGAAUAUUGCACAAUGGGCGGAAGCCUGAUGCAGCAACGCCGCGUGCGGGAUGACGGCCUUCGGGCUGUAAACCGCUUUCGCCUGUGACGAAGCGUGAGUGACGGUAAUGGGUAAAGAAGCACCGGCUAACUACGUG